UGCCAGACUCCUACGGGAGGCAGCAGUGAGGAAUAUUGGUCAAUGGGCGCGAGCCUGAACCAGCCAAGUCGCGUGAGGGAAGACGGUCCUAUGGAUUGUAAACCUCUUUUGUCGGGGAGCAAAAGACGCCACGCGUGGCGUUCCGAGAGUACCCGAAGAAAAAGCAUCGGCUAACUCCGUGCCAGCAGCCGCGGUAAUACGGAGGAUGCGAGCGUUAUCCGGAUUUAUUGGGUUUAAAGGGUGCGUAGGCGGUCCGUUAGGUCAGCGGUAAAAUGGCGGGGCCAAACCCCGUCGAGCCGUUGAAACUGGCAGACUUGAGUUGGCGAGAAGUACGCGGAAUGCGUGGUGUAGCGGUGAAAUGCAUAGAUAUCACGCAGAACUCCGAUUGCGAAGGCAGCAUACCGGCGCGCAACUGACGCUCAUGCACGAAAGCGUGGGUAUCGAACAGGAUUAGAUACCCGUGUA
rnacentral:rRNA from 1 species